rnacentral:ncRNA from 1 species
CAGAGUAAGAAUCUGUGCGUUAAGUGCCUGGUGGACGGGGAGUUGUCAUCGGGACGAAAAAGCUUUAUGCAUUGCGAUACAGGUUCUGCAUCCCGCUG